AUUGAACGCUGGCGGCAUGCCUAACACAUGCAAGUCGAACGGUAACGAUGGAAGCUUGCUUCCAGGCGACGAGUGGCGGACGGGUGAGUACAAAUUAGGAAUCUGCCCAGUAGUGGGGGACAACCCGGAGAAAUCCGGGCUAAUACCGCAUACGCCCUACGGGGGAAAGUGGGGGCCUUCGGGCCUCACGCUAUUGGAUGAGCCUAAUCCGGAUUAGCUUGUUGGUGAGGUAAAAGCUCACCAAGGCGACGAUCCGUAGCUGGUCUGAGAGGACGAUCAGCCACACUGGGACUGAGACACGGCCCAGACUCCUACGGGAGGCAGCAGUGGGGAAUAUUGGACAAUGGGGGCAACCCUGAUCCAGCAAUGCCGCGUGUGUGAAGAAGGCCUGCGGGUUGUAAAGCACUUUCAGUAGGGAAGAAAAGCAUAGGGUUAAUACCCCUGUGUAUUGACGUUACCUACACAAGAAGCACCGGCUAACUCCGUGCCAGCAGCCGCGGUAA
rnacentral:rRNA from 1 species